ACUCCUACGGGAGGCAGCAGUGGGGAAUAUUGCACAAUGGGGGAAACCCUGAUGCAGCCAUGCCGCGUGUGUGAAGAAGGCCUUCGGUUGUAAAGCACUUUCAGUAGGGAGGAAGGUAGUGUAGUUAACACCUGCACUAUUUGACGUUACCUACAGAAGAAGCACCGGCUAACUCCGUGCCAGCAGCCGCGGUAAUACGGAGGGGUGCGAGCGUUAAUCGGAAUUACUGGGCGUAAAGCGCAUGCAGGCGGCCUGUUAAGUCAGAUGUGAAAGCCCGGGGGCUUAACCUCGGAAUUGCAUUUGAAACUGGCAGGCUAGAGUCUUGUAGAGGGGGUAGAAUUUCAGGUGUAGCGGUGAAAUGCGUAGAGAUCUGAAGGAAUACCAGUGGCGAAGGCGGCCCCCUGGACAAAGACUGACGCUCAGAUGCGAAAGCGUGGGGAGCGAAACAGGAUUAGAUACCCUGGUAGCACAGAG
rnacentral:rRNA from 1 species